rnacentral:rRNA from 1 species
UUCAUCUCCCAAUUUCAUACGAAUUUGAUGGUAUCCACUACGCAAAUCAACUUUGGAGAAUAUUGUAGAGCCACUCAAUUCAUCAAGCAUAUCAUCUAGCCUAGGAAUAGGAUGACGAUAACGAAUAGUAAUAUUAUUAAUGCCUCUACAAUCAACACACAUACGUGAUGUGCCAUCCUUCUUCGGCACUAAAAUGAUAGGAACAACACAAGGACUAAGGGAUUCGCGUAUAUAACCUUUGUCGAGAAGCUCUUGUACUUGACGCAUAAUCUCCUUCGUCUCCUCUGGAUUGGUACGGUAUGGUGCACGGUUUGGCAGUGAAGCACCGGGAAUUAAGUCAAUCUGAUGCUCAAUCCCUCGAAUAGGUGGUAAUCCCGGUGGCACGUCUUGUGGAAAGACGUCAGCGAACUCCUGCAAAAUGUUAGUGACAGCAGGGGGCAAAGAGGAAGGCACGUCCUCGAAUGAAAAUAAUGCCUCUUUGCACACAAAAGCAUAGCAAACAGAUUUGCUGAAAUCUAGCUCAUCAAUAUCAGAUUUGGUGGCAAAUAAACAUGCACUUUUCAAUUUAAUUUCAGAAGCAACACUAGAUGGUUUAUUAUUAGGCUUCAUUUGUUGCUCAAAUUCUUUUGCCACAAUCUGAUUUUCACUCUUAUUCGUCUCCUGUUUUGCUUUAUUAGCUCUAUUAAUAUCAUCUUUCAAAAUGGAAUCAGGAGUCAUAGGAAGCAAAGUAAUAUUUUUAUCCUUAUGAACAAGAGUAUAGUGAUUGUUUCUACCAUGGUGUACAGAAUUUUUAUCAAAUUGCCAUGGUCUACCAAGUAAUAAGGAACAUGCUUGCACGAGGACAACGAAAUUCCUUGUCGGGUAAGUUCCGACCCGCACGAAAGGUGUAACGACUUGCGCACUGUCUCAACGAGGGACCCGGUGAAAUUGAAGUACCUGUGAAGAUGCAGGUUACCCGCGACUGGACAGAAAGACCCCAUGGAGCUUUACUGCAACCUAAGAUUGAACUUAGUUAAUGAAUGUACAGGAUAGGUGGGAGACGUAGAACCUAGGACGCCAGUUUUAGGGGAGUCGCUGUUGGGAUACCACCCUUUCAUUAAUUGAUUUCUAACGGGCCGAGUAACGACCGGCCGGACAGUCUUAGGCGGGCAGUUUGACUGGGGCGGUCGCCUCCUAAAGAGUAACGGAGGCGCCCAAAGGUUCCCUCAGAGCGGACGGAAAUCGCUCGAAGAGUGUAAAGGCAGAAGGGAGCUUGACUGCGAGACGGACAGGUCGAGCAGGGACGAAAGUCGGGCUUAGUGAUCCGGUGGUGCCGAGUGGAAGGGCCAUCGCUCAACGGAUAAAAGCUACCCUGGGGAUAACAGGCUAAUCUCUCCCAAGAGUCCAUAUCGACGGGGAGGUUUGGCACCUCGAUGUCGGCUCAUCACAUCCUGGGGCUGAAGUAGGUCCCAAGGGUUCGGCUGUUCGCCGAUUAAAGUGGUACGUGAGCUGGGUUCAGAACGUCGUGAGACAGUUCGGUCCCUAUCCAUCGCGGGCGCAAGAAACUUGAAGGGGGCUGCUCCUAGUACGAGAGGACCGGAGUGGACGAACCGCUGGUGUACCAAUUAUCCUGCCAAGGGUACAGUUGGGUAGCUACGUUCGGGACGGAUAAACGCUGAAAGCAUCUAAGCGUGAAACCAGCCUUGAGAUGAGGUUUCUCAUAGCAUAAGCUAGUAAGAUCCCAUGUAGACGACAUGGUUGAUAGGCCAGGUGUGGAAGAGCCGUGAGGUUUGGAGCUGACUGGUACUAAUAGAUCGAGGGCUUUACUU